rnacentral:rRNA from 1 species
AGAGUUUGAUCCUGGCUCAGGACGAACGCUGGCGGCGUGCCUAACACAUGCAAGUCGAGCGAAGGGAGUACUACGGUACGAACUUAGCGGCGGACGGGUGAGUAACGCGUGGACAAUCUACCCUGUAGACUGGGAUAACACCUCGAAAGGGGUGCUAAUACCGGAUAAUGUCGAGAAGCGGCAUCGCUUUUCGAAGAAAGGAGGGAAUCCGCUAUAGGAGGAGUCCGCGUCCCAUUAGCUAGUUGGUGAGGGUAACGGCCCACCAAGGCGACGAUGGGUAGCCGGCCUGAGAGGGUGAACGGCCACACUGGAACUGAGACACGGUCCAGACUCCUACGGGAGGCAGCAGUGGGGAAUAUUGUGCAAUGGGGGAAACCCUGACACAGCGACGCCGCGUGAGUGAAGAAGGCCUUCGGGUCGUAAAGCUCAAUAGUAUGGGAAGAAAGAAAUGACGGUACCAUACGAAAGCCCCGGCUAACUACGUG